rnacentral:rRNA from 1 species
GCGCAGCAGGCGAGAAACCUUCGCAAUGCGGGAAACCGCGACGAGGGGACUCCCAGUGCCUACGCUCAGCGUAGGCUGUUCCCGAGCCUAGAAAGCUCGGGGAGUAAGGGCUGGGUAAGACGGGUGCCAGCCGCCGCGGUAAUACCCGCAGCCCGAGUGGUGGCCACUAUUAUUGGGCCUAAAAGCGUCCGUAGCCGGCCCGGUAAAUGCCUGGGUAAAUCGUGAGGCCUAACCUCACGAAUUCCGGGUAGACUGCCGGGCUAGGGACCGGAGGAGGGAGAGGGUACUCCAGGGGUAGGGGUGAAAUCCUGUAAUCCCUGGAGGACCACCGGUGGCGAAGGCGCUCUCCUAGGACGGGUCCGACGGUGAGGGACGAAAGCCAGGGGAGCGAACCGGAUUAGAUACCCGU